GACGUAGGGCGCGAGCGUUGUCCGGAUUUAUUGGGCGUAAAGAGCUCGUAGGCGGCUUGUCGCGUCGAAUGUGAAAACUCGGGGCUCAACUCCGAGCUUGCAUUCGAUACGGGCAGGCUAGAGUUCGGUAGGGGAGACUGGAAUUCCUGGUGUAGCGGUGAAGUGCGCAGAUAUCAGGAGGGACACCGGUAGCGAAGGCGGCUCGCUGGGCCAUUCCUGACGCUGAGACGCGAAAGCUAGGGGAGCGAACAGG
rnacentral:rRNA from 1 species